UCCCCAGGAGACUUCAGUCAUCCGAGCUAAAGAGAGCGCAUGAGGACAGCGGCGAUUACCCUGUUGUACUAACUUCCGCAGUUUCCCAUCUAGCCCUCUCUCUCUCUCUCUCUCUCUCUCUCUCUCUCGUUAUGUGAAGGUCAGCUAGUGAGCUGAUUGAUCUGUUUGCUGUGGGCCUCCACUCUCCGUAAGAAACGUCGUCAUUAACGUCGGCCGGCAGUUGGGACUCUGGCCUUCAGGCUGCUGGGAAACGAUCCUUCAUCACACUCCAGCUGGGCGGCCUGUCACUGAGCUGACAGGAGCCGGUGGCGGUGGAGGUGGAGGCUGGAUUGCCGCCCACGACAGGCAUCAGCUGCUAUGCAAGCACGGGUAAUGAGCGCUGGGAAGAAGAAACACCAGAAAGGAAGAGCUACCGCGAACCUUCACGAUAACGUGGUUACAUGUCCCUGAUGAGCCCCUGCAGAGCCACAUAAGGAGAGAACAGCUUUUUAAUAAUAGAUUUGUUACAUAAGA